CCCUUAGAUGUUCUGGGCUGCACGCGCGCUACACUGACGCACGCAACAGGUGCCUGCUCCGAGAGGACCGGGUAAUCAUUUGAGUGUGCGUCGUGAUGGGGAUAGAAUAUUGUAAUUAUUACUCUUCAACGAGGAAUUCCUAGUAAGCGCCAGUCAGCAGCUUGCGCUGAUUACGUCCCUGCCCUUUGUACACACCGCCCGUCGCUCCUACCGAUGGGUGAUCCGGUGAAUGAUUCGGACUUCAGCGGCUCCCCUGGGGUGCGCCGGAGAAAGUUUUGUGAACCUUAUCACUUGGAGGAAGGAGAAGUCGUAACA
rnacentral:rRNA from 1 species